AUGACGAGUGGCGGACGGGUGAGUAAUGCUUGGGAACUUGCCUUUGCGAGGGGGAUAACAGUUGGAAACGACUGCUAAUACCGCAUAAUGUCUACGGACCAAACGGGGCUUAGGCUCCGGCGCAAAGAGAGGCCCAAGUGAGAUUAGCUAGUUGGUGAGGUAAAGGCUUACCAAGGCGACGAUCUCUAGCUGUUCUGAGAGGAAGAUCAGCCACACUGGGACUGAGACACGGCCCAGACUCCUACGGGAGGCAGCAGUGGGGAAUAUUGCACAAUGGGGGAAACCCUGAUGCAGCCAUGCCGCGUGUGUGAAGAAGGCCUUCGGGUUGUAAAGCACUUUCAGUUGUGAGGAAAAGUUAGUAGUUAAUACCUGCUAGCCGUGACGUUAACAACAGAAGAAGCACCGGCUAACUCCGUGCCAGCAGCCGCGGUAAUACGGAGGGUGCGAGCGUUAAUCGGAAUUACUGGGCGUAAAGCGCACGCAGGCGGUUUGUUAAGCUAGAUGUGAAAGCCCCGGGCUCAACCUGGGAUGGUCAUUUAGAACUGGCAGACUAGAGUCUUGGAGAGGGGAGUGGAAUUCCAGGUGUAGCGGUGAAAUGCGUAGAUAUCUGGAGGAACAUCAGUGGCGAAGGCGACUCCCUGGCCAAAGACUGACGCUCAUGUGCGAAAGUGUGGGUAGCGAACAGGAUUAGAUACCCUGGUAGUCCACACCGUAAACGCUGUCUACUAGCUGUUUGUGACUUUAAGUCGUGAGUAGCGAAGCUAACGCGCUAAGUAGACCGCCUGGGGAGUACGGCCGCAAGGUUAAAACUCAAAUGAAUUGACGGGGGGCCCGCACAAGCGGUGGAGCAUGUGGUUUAAUUCGAUGCAACGCGAA
rnacentral:rRNA from 1 species